CCCUAUCUGAGAGAUCCAAGGACCUGGACACACUGCCUAGUAUCUGAAACCCGUCAGUUCAGCUCCCAUGCACCCGGCCACCUCCCGCUAGCCGGUGGCCCCUUUCCACAUGCUGACGCACUGCCCAGCCCUGUACCGUUGGCGACCAGUGCAAAGUACUAGCCCAGUCUCAGAAACUUUGACUCAGUUAUCAGGACACUGAGCACUCACAAGGUGGGUGGGGGUUGGGGGGAGGUGUUUGUCAUGGCUCAGGAGGUCAACUUUGAAGCGGGGCAUUCCCUACAGGUAGGGAUCUGCCCGGAACGCAUCCCAUCCCAAACUGCAAAACCACAAGCAUCAACAGCAGGAGCCGAGCAAAGUGCUCGGCGGAGGAAGAGGAAGGGCGAGGGAGAGAAAUGGUCGAGUACAGAAGCCUGCGUGUGGGUAAGAAAAUACCCUAACCACUCGCCCACCGGACGCAGGGCGGCUGGGACUGCGAAUCCAGCAGCAGCCACAGCGUAGCAGCGGGCGGCAGCCGCCGAGGCAGCAAUGUCAGGAGGGCACAGCUGGAGGAGGCGGCCGCCAAAGCCACUACCCCACCCCCAGGAAGAUUUGGAAAAGAGGCACUGGCUACUGGAGGAAGGGAGAAAUCACCGAGAGAGCGAAAGAUGUAACAGAAACAGGCUCUUGUUCUGUCACCCAUACUUGGAGUGCAGUGGUACAAUGAUAGCUCACUGCAGCCUCAAACUCCUGGUCUCAAGCAAUCCUCUCACCUCAGCCUCCCAGAUGCAGUGACUCAUGCCUAUAAUCCCAGUACUUUGGAAGGUCAAGGCACAAGGAUCCAUUGAGGCCAGGAGUCCAAGACCAGCCUGCACAAUGUAGCAAGACUCCUUCUCUACAAAAAAAUAAAUAAAAAUUAGCCAGGCAUGGUGGUGCACUCCUGUAGUCCCAGCUACUCAAGAGGCUGAUGUAGAGAAUCGCAUUAUCCCAGAGGUCAAGGCUGCAGUGAGCCGUGAUCAUGCCUCUGCACUCCAGCCUGGACGAUAGAGCAAGACUUUAUCUCAAAAAACAAAAAUUUAAAAAGAUAUCAGGUAGCUCAUAGAAUUGUUGAGAGGGCUGUAAAACCAGGCUUGAACUUAAACAGCAACGAUAAACCACCCACAGAACGGACAUGAUGAAGAAGUUGGCAAAUGUUACCAACUGUCCUGGUUUUUUUGGUGACUGUAGUUUCCAAGGAUUCAGAUCCUUCCAUGCCAAAAUCUGAAAAAUGCUGGGCAAAGUAUGACUGACAAUGUGGUAAUCUUACAGCUAGCACUAGAGACAUCAAGCACUAGACAACACAAUUUGCCCUUUGGCCACUUAUACAAUGGGAACUCACGCUUGCAGUAACCUCUAUUGCCACUAGGAGAGAGAAACACAGAAGGAGGAAGGGAGAAGGGAGAGAGAGGAAAAAAACUGUUGCUUGUCUCCUUAGCUGUGAGUCAAAGGUCUAACACAGAUGUCUGGCUGAAAAGCCUAGGUCACAUGCCUGCACCCCAGAGAAAGUAUGUGACAUCUUCUGCUUCCAUUAUGGGAAACAGCCUUUGCUUGUCACGAAGAUUUACAUGGUGAGACAUAUCCUAAAUAUAGGGAAGCUGUUGAAGUGGCCCAAAUAAUGACCAAUUUCUACUAAUUUGUACUAAUAUCCAAAUUACUUUUAAUUAUCUAAUAUUACUUAGAUACAGUGAGGCAACCAUUCGUUGGAUAUAUAAUGGUUUCUUUGAUUUCAAAAAUCUUUUUUUAUGUAAUAUAUGUCUGAAGACCAUCAAAAUAAAUUCUUAAAGUCAGAUUAAUAGGAUGUUACUUAUAAUAUUAUUGUAAUUAUUUGACCACAUAAUAGUUUAUGCCCAUUAUAUACUAUGUAAUUGUAUGAUGGAAAUAAUGCUGUACUUUGUUUGUAAAAGUUUAAUUAUCCUGACCUUUGUUCAUCAUAAAGAAUUGCUCCAUUUCUAUUAUUUAUCGAGGAAAAAAGUUUCUCUCUUUUUGUUUUUAAUAUGUCAUUAGGAGAAGAGUAGUUACACGUAGGCUAGAGUGUUUGCCAAGAAGAAAUUGAUUUUAAUGGGAACCUUUUAUCUAAGACAAACUUUAAGAAGAGCAGUAAUGGACAAUGUGUUCUGUGCAACUCUUCAGCCUUCAGUCUCACAUUCAUUGUGGUCAAGUAUUUUCAGCAAAGAAUAACAAGUCAGAGUUUGUGUAUAUUUUUCAUAGCUGUUCAUUCUCUUACAGAGUAACCUUGAACAAACCUCUUAAGAUUUGUGUUUUAUCUUCAUAUACUGAAAUACAAAAUGGGAAUGCCUAUAUUUAAUCAAAGAUAUAAUUUUUACUGAUAGAUAGUAAAGAACAAAACACUGGAACAAGAAUUCCUGUCCUGCCUUUCACAAUGUGGUUUUGAGGCCUUGGCCAUGUCACUUAAAUUCUCAUAUCUGUUUUCUCAAUCUAUAAAUGAUCAUAAUACCUGCACUAUCUGUCUCAAAUUGCAUAUGUGAAAGCAUCUUAAAGGUACAAAACAAUAAAUACAAAGCAUUAUUAUUAAAUUAUUACACCUUCCAGCAUUUAAUGCUAAAAAUGCCAAAUGCGUCCUUUGGUUAUAUGUAGGAAAUAUGUCUCAGAAAAAUCAAUUUAAAAUUAUAGAAGCUAACAGGUAAGUCAUUUUAAGUGUGUGGUUAUCUUCUGCAUGGCAGAUUUUUAAAUGGUAAUUAUUAAUGAAGUUUUCCUAUACUUACUGUUUCCAAGACUCCAUUCUUUCCAAAGUUUUCUGAGUUAUGCUUAUCAUCCCUUAAGUCUUAGGGAUGCUCUUCUGAGCUUUUGG
rnacentral:lncRNA from 1 species